AUUGGUCUGAGAGAAACCCAUGAAAUGGACCUAUAUAAGUCCCUUGUAGGGGCACGCUCACUGACUGCUGAGGCAGAAAUGAGGAUGUGGACAGCUUGGUGCGUGGCCAUGUACUUCUUGGGAGCAAGAGCUGAAAUCACCCAGACCUCAAGCCUUGUGCUGAAAGAAGAUGAGAAAGCUACUUUGACGUGCAGCCAAAAUAAUAAUCACGAUUCUAUGUACUGGUAUCGGCAGCAGCCAGGGAAGGGGCUGCAAUUGAUCUAUUAUUCCUAUGGUGCAAACCUGCAACAAGAGGGUGACAUUCCCACUGGAUACAAAGCUAACCGGAUAACCCUGGAAAACUUCAAUCUGGAUAUUUUGUCUGUGAAGAUGAACCAUUCAGGUGUCUAUUUCUGUGCCAGCAGUUUGGACACAACACUUCAAAGUCACUUGCUUUCUUUACAGAAACUUCUCUCCUUUCCAGCAGCCUCCCUCAGAAGGGAGCUGCCCUCAGCACAGCAAAGG